rnacentral:rRNA from 1 species
UGCCAGACUCCUACGGGAGGCAGCAGUGAGGAAUAUUGGUCAAUGGGCGCGAGCCUGAACCAGCCAAGUAGCGUGAAGGAUGACUGCCCUACGGGUUGUAAACUUCUUUUAUAAAGGAAUAAAGUGAGGCACGUGUGCCUUUUUGUAUGUGCUUUAUGAAUAAGCAUCGGCUAACUCCGUGCCAGCAGCCGCGGUAAUACGGAGGAUGCGAGCGUUAUCCGGAUUUAUUGGGUUUAAAGGGUGCGUAGGUUGUUUUUUAAGUCAGCGGUGAAAGUUUGUGGCUCAACCAUAAAAUUGCCGUUGAAACUGGAAGACUUGAGUGUGUUUGAGGUAGGCGGAAUGCGUGGUGUAGCGGUGAAAUGCAUAGAUAUCACGCAGAACUCCGAUUGCGAAGGCAGCUUACUAAGCCAUAACUGACACUGAAGCACGAAAGCGUGGGGAUCAAACAGGAUUAGAUACCCGGGUA